UAGGGAAUCUUCCGCAAUGGGCGAAAGCCUGACGGAGCAACGCCGCGUGAGUGAUGAAGGUCUUCGGAUCGUAAAACUCUGUUAUUAGGGAAGAACAAAUGUGUAAGUAACUAUGCACGUCUUGACGGUACCUAAUCAGAAAGCCACGGCUAACUACGUGCCAGCAGCCGCGGUAAUACGUAGGUGGCAAGCGUUAUCCGGAAUUAUUGGGCGUAAAGCGCGCGUAGGCGGUUUUUUAAGUCUGAUGUGAAAGCCCACGGCUCAACCGUGGAGGGUCAUUGGAAACUGGAAAACUUGAGUGCAGAAGAGGAAAGUGGAAUUCCAUGUGUAGCGGUGAAAUGCGCAGAGAUAUGGAGGAACACCAGUGGCGAAGGCGACUUUCUGGUCUGUAACUGACGCUGAUGUGCGAAAGCGUGGGGAUCAAGCAGG
rnacentral:rRNA from 1 species